AAUAGAUACCCCGGUAGUCCAUGCCGUAAACGAUGUCUACUAGCCGUUGGGGCCCUUGAGGCUUUAGUGGGCGCAGCUAACGCGAUAAGUAGACCGCCUGGGGAGUACGGUCGCAAGACUAAAACUCAAAUGAAUUGACGGGGGCCCGCACAAGCGGUGGAGCAUGUGGUUUAAUUCGAUGCAACGCGAAGAACCUUACCUGGCCUUGACAUACAGAGAACUUUCCAGAGAUGGAUUGGUGCCUUCGGGAACUCUGAUACAGGUGCUGCAUGGCUGUCGUCAGCUCGUGUCGUGAGAUGUUGGGUUAAGUCCCGCAACGAGCGCAACCCUUUUCCUUAUUUGCCAGCACUUCGGGUGGGAACUUUAAGGAUACUGCCAGUGACAAACUGGAGGAAGGCGGGGACGACGUCAAGUCAUCAUGGCCCUUACGGCCAGGGCUACACACGUGCUACAAUGGUCGGUACAAAGGGUUGCUACUGCGCGAGCAGAUGCUAAUCUCAAAAAGCCGAUCGUAGUCCGGAUCGCAGU
rnacentral:rRNA from 1 species